GACGAACGCUGGCGGCGUGCCUAAUACAUGCAAGUCGAGCGGAUCUUGUCCUUCGGGACAAGGUUAGCGGCGGACGGGUGAGUAACACGUAGGCAACCUGCCCACAAGCCUGGGAUAACUACCGGAAACGGUAGCUAAGACCGGAUACGUUGUUUCCCCGCAUGGGGGAACAUGGAAAGACGGAGCAAUCUGUCGCCUAUGGAUGGGCCUGCGGCGCAUUAGCUAGUAGGGGAGGUAACGGCUCACCUAGGCGACGAUGCGUAGCCGACCUGAGAGGGUGAACGGCCACACUGGGACUGAGACACGGCCCAGACUCCUACGGGAGGCAGCAGUAGGGAAUCUUCGGCAAUGGACGCAAGUCUGACCGAGCAACGCCGCGUGAGUGAGGAAGGGUUUCGGCUCGUAAAACUCUGUUGCCAGGGAAGAACGCCAAUCGGAGUAACUGCCGGUUGGGUGGCGGUACCUGAGAAGAAAGCCCCGGCUAACUACGUGCCAGCCGCCGCAGUAACAC
rnacentral:rRNA from 1 species